rnacentral:rRNA from 1 species
AUUGAACGCUAACGGCAUGCUUAACACAUGCAAGUCGAACGGCAGCACAGUAGUAGCAAUACUAUGGGUGGCGAGUGGCGGACGGGUGAGUAAUACAUAGGAAUCUGCCUUAUAGUGGGGGAUAACCCGGGGAAACUCGGGCUAAUACCGCAUAAUCUCUACGGAGCAAGGUGUGGGACCUUCGGGCCAUACGCUAAAAGAUGAGCCUAUGUCGGAUUAGCUAGUUGGUGGGGUAAAGGCCUACCAAGGCAACGAUCCGUAGCUGGUCUGAGAGGAUGAUCAGCCACACUGGGACUGAGACACGGCCCAGACUCCUACGGGAGGCAGCAGUGGGGAAUAUUGGACAAUGGGCGAAAGCCUGAUCCAGCAAUGCCGUGUGUGUGAAGAAGGCCUUCGGGUUGUAAAGCACUUUUAGUUGGGAAGAAAAGUUCAUGGCUAAUAUCCAUGAAUGCUGACGUUACCAACAGAAAAAGCACUGGCUAACUCUGUGCCAGCAGCCGCCGUAA